GCCCCAGUGGUGAAAUGGUAGACGCGCCUGACUCAAAAUCAGGUACCGAAAGGUGUGGGGGUUCAAGUCCCUCCUGGGGCACCA
rnacentral:tRNA from 2 species